rnacentral:rRNA from 1 species
AAGACAGAGGGGGCAAGCGUUGCUCGGAAUUACUGGGCGUAAAGGGCGCGUAGGCGGAAUGGCAAGUCGGUCGUGAAAUCCUUCGGCUCAACCGAAGAACGUCGAUCGAAACUGCCGUUCUUGAGGAUUGCAGAGGAGACUGGAAUUCCCGGUGUAGCGGUGAAAUGUGUAGAGAUCGGGAGGAACACCGGUGGCGAAGGCGGGUCUCUGGGCAAUUCCUGACGCUGAGGCGCGAAAGCGUGGGGAGCAAACGGGA